UACGUAGGGUGCGAGCGUUGUCCGGAAUUAUUGGGCGUAAAGAGCUUGUAGGCGGUUUGUCGCGUCUGCCGUGAAAGCCCAGGGCUUAACCCUGGGUCUGCGGUGGGUACGGGCAGACUAGAGUGUGGUAGGGGAGACGUGAAUUCCUGGUGUAGCGGUGAAAUGCGCAGAUAUCAGGAGGAACACCGAUGGCGAAGGCAGGUCUCUGGGCCACUACUGACGCUGAGAAGCGAAAGCAUGGGGAGCAAACAGG
rnacentral:rRNA from 1 species